AUACGUAGGGAGCGAGCGUUACCCGGAAUUACUGGGCGUAAAGUGCGCGUAGGCGGCUUGGUAAGUCCCUUUUGAAAGCUCCCGGCUUAACUGGGAGAGGUGAGGGGAAACUACUUGGCUUGAGGACAGCAGAGGAAAGCGGAAUUCUCGGUGUAGCGGUGAAAUGCGUAGAUAUCGAGAGGAACACCAGUGGCGAAGGCGGCUUUCUGGGCUGCACCUGACGCUGAGGCGCGAGAGCGUGGGGAGCAAACAGGAUUAGAAACCCCGGUAGUCC
rnacentral:rRNA from 1 species